AGCUCCAAUAGCGUAUAUUAAAGUUGUUGCGGUUAAAAAGCUCGUAGUUGGAUUUCUGUUGGAGGUCAGCGGUCUACCUUUUGGGUAAGUAUCUGUUUGAGCUCCGGCAUCUUUCUAGAAUACGUUCCUGCGCUUGAUUGCGUGGGGCGGAGUCUAGGACUUUUACUUUGAGGAAAUUAGAGUGUUCACGGCAGGCAAUCGCCCUGAAUAUAUUAGCAUGGAAUAAUGAUAUAGGAUUUCGGUUCUAUUUUGUUGGUUUCUAGAGCUGGAAUAAUGAUUAAUAGGGACAAUUGGGGGCACUUGUACUAUGAGGUCAGAGGUGAAAUUCUUGGAUUCUCAUAUGACAAACUACUGCGAAAGCAUUUGCCAAGGAUGUUUUCA
rnacentral:rRNA from 1 species